UCCUUGGGGCUGGGGGCAGGACUCUGGAUACCCUAAGGGUUUUCUAAGACAAAGAGGAAUCUGCCAGGACAACAGGCAGCACCCUAGGGUGGCUUAAUGGCAGUGGACUAUGGAGGAGCCAGGGUCCUAACAUGAGACUGUGGUCUCUGGCAGCCCCAUAGCCAUCUCUCCUGGCUUGGCACCAUGGGAUCUAAACUGGGAGAGCAUGGAGAUUCAUCUAGAAUAAAAGCAGAAUGUUUCCCAAACAAUGCAAGAGUCCAAACAACAAAUCUCUCUUUGUAUGAGACAAAUCACUCAUGUUGCUGAGUAAAACAGGGACCACUUGCACAACAAAACUGCAUGCAUUCCAAGCUGGAAAUCUGGUUUUCAGGAUUAUAGCUGAAUUUAAGAGGAGAAAUAAAACUAAUGGAGUAUAAGACAGAUGGAAAUAUUUUACCCAGACACUCUCUUCUUAAAGGUACUCAGAAAGCCCUGAAGGCACCUUCUCCGAAUACUGGCCACACCAAAUUCUGCUCAGCUCCCGGGACUGACAGCAUUGGGACUGACUGCAAUUUCACUGCAAGACUGCACCUGCCUCUGCUGUUGUUUCCAGUGGAGACCCAGAGAGGGCUGGAAUCAGGUUUCUCACAGAAGACAAGAGAUAAUGACCAAAAACAAACUGGUGUCACCCUAGGAGUGCCUGGUGAUUAAGGCUGAACAAGCAUGAUGCCUGCGGGUCAAGGCGAGAUCUCUCAUAGAUUCCUUCCUGUGGACCUCAAACAUGUUUUAUCUGGGAGUCUUCCUCUUUCAUGACAUUCACAGAAGGCCUAUGGUGUGCCAGGCCCCGUGGACAGCACUGUGGACACAGAUGCAUAAUAACAGUUCCUACCCUCCAGAUAGAGAGGCAAGAAAGGGCUGUGGAAGCAAACCCAAGGUACUAAGGAAGCCGGGAAGAGAACCUACUCUAGACUUGGAAGUUGAAGGGGUCAAGAAACAUUCCUAGAGAAGAUACCUGAGUCUUGAAAACUGAGAAGGAAUUAGUAACCCAACAGAGGUGGGAACUUUCUGAGGACGGAGAUGGAGAGGAAGAUGCUGCCAGCUGAGGGACCACCAUUCUGAAAGCUAGGAGAAAGUGCGCGAUGGAAAGUGGGCCUGAGGGAAAGGCUGUAAGCACCUCACUAUUAAUCACAAUUCUCCCUAUAGGAAAAUAAAUGCUGUUUCUACUUCAGCAAGUUUUUUUCCUUUUGUUUACAUUUUUUCUCAUUAUGAAGUGAUCAUCCUUUAAUUUGGAUGUGAACACUACGUCUAUUUGCAGGACAGACUCACUGUUCUAUAGAGCUCAAGAUUAUUACCAG
rnacentral:lncRNA from 10 species